rnacentral:rRNA from 1 species
ACAUACGAUCACAGGUCGCAGAUUAUAGGGCUUCCCGUCCGCUUAGCCGUUACUCAAGCUACGAACCGGCCGAUUAGUACUCAAGUGGGUGAUCAUUGGGGAAUCCCGGUUGUUGUACGUU